AAAUUCGAAGUACAGGGAAAUAUUACGCUAAGAUCGGAGCAAAGGGCGCUGCCAGCACAUACAGUAAAUUAUUCGACAUGUUG